ACUUACAAGCAAGCCUGCGCCCCCGGCACCACCUUUAAUCAGGCCAUCUACCGCUGCACUUAAACUGCGCCUCCACCACCACCUGCGCCACCCAGGAACACCUGGUGGAUAUGACGACGAUGACUAUCUGGAAGAGCAGCAACAACAAACAACAAAGCAGCAACAACAAACAACAAAGCAGCAACAACAAACAACAAAGCAGCAACAACAAAAGAAAAGGAUUUACUAUUACCAAGAAGGACAACAAAUACAACAACAAUGAACCGCAGUACCGAGUACAGCCAGAACAUCAAAAACUUUAAAUGCCAGCCACAACAACAAUAAAAACAACAACUACAACAACAGCAAUGGCAACAACUUCAAGAGCAGCAACAACGUCAACAAAAACAUCUACAACAACAACAACAACAAUGGCCAUAACAAAAAUCAAUUUCACUGGAUAAGAAUCAGCUUGACAGUGUACACAACAAUGACUGGCUUGUGUUGACACCCUCCACACACACACCUGCUGCCUCUAUACACACCUGCUCUUACACACAUGCUGUCUCCACACACCUGCUAAUACGUACAUAUUUGUCAAUUUUGCACAGCUUCUGUUCUUAUUAACCCAUGUUGCUCUGCAUUCUCUUAUAAGAACUUGUUUUGAUCAUUCAGUAAAUCAGUUUCAUUUACACUGGAAUUAUGUAAACACUUGUAUAUGGCCGAUUUCUUUCAUCUUACAUAUUAUAUCUAAGGAAUAUAAUUUACAAUUGUCCUUUUUAAUCUUGCAAUCAAGUAAUCCAUUAUAGAAAAUUAUUUACAACUGGCUUUUAAUAGAUUAAAAUGUAAACAAAAAUAUUCAUAAAUGUGCUUUUCUUUCCCAAAUAAAUAUCCAUAAAAAAUAUCA